rnacentral:rRNA from 1 species
UGCUUAACACAUGCAAGUCGAACGUGAAAAGGGGCAACCCUGAGUAAAGUGGCGUACGGGUGAGUAACGCGUAGGUAAUCUACCCUAGAGACUGGAAUAACCUACCGAAAGGUGGGCUAAUACUAGAUAGAGCAAGAGAUACGUAAUGGUAUUUUUUGGGAAAGGGAGCUUGAAAGAGCCCUUACUUUAGGAUGAGCCUGCGUCUCAUUAGCUAGUUGGUGAGGUAACGGCUCACCAAGGCAGUGAUGGGUAGCUGGUCUGAGAGGAUGAUCAGCCACACUGGAACUGAAACACGGUCCAGACUCCUACGGGAGGCAGCAGUGGGGAAUCUUGCGCAAUGGAGGAAACUCUGACGCAGCCACGCCGCGUGAGUGAAGAAGGCCUUCGGGUUGUAAAGCUC